rnacentral:rRNA from 1 species
GUUAGGAAUAUUGGACAAUGGGCGCAAGCCUGAUCCAGCCAUGCCGCGUGAGUGAUGAAGGCCUUCGGGUUGUAAAGCUCUUUAGUCCACGAAUAUAAUGACUGUAGUGGAAGAAUAAGCCCCGGCUAACUUCGUGCCAGCAGCCGCGGUAAUACGAAGGGGGCGAGCGUUAUUCGGAAUCACUGGGCGUAAAGCGUGCGUAGGCUGUUUUGUAAGUCAGAAGUGAAAGCCCAGGGCUUAACCCUGGAAUUGCUUUUGAAACUACAAGACUCGAAUUCGGGAGAGGAUAGCGGAAUUGUCAGUGUAGCAGUGAAAUGCGUAGAUAUUGACAGGAACACCAGUGGCGCAAGCGGCUAUCUGGACCGAUAUUGACGCUGAGGCACGAAAGCGUGGGGAUCGAACAGGAUUAGAAACCCGGGUAGUCC